ACGCUCGACACCUACGGGAGGCAGCAGGUGGGGAAUAUUGCACAAUGGGGGAAACCCUGAUGCAGCGACGCCGCGUGAGCGAAGAAGUAUCUCGGUAUGUAAAGCUCUAUCAGCAGGGAAGAAGAUGACGGUACCUGACUAAGAAGCACCGGCUAAAUACGUGCCAGUAGCCGCGGUAAUCUGAGCGGGCGUGGCGAAGGC
rnacentral:rRNA from 1 species